rnacentral:rRNA from 1 species
CCCUUAGAUGUUCUGGGCCGCACGCGCGCUACACUGAUGCAUUCAACAAGCCUAGCCUUGACCGAGAGGUCCGGGUAAUCUUUGAAACUGCAUCGUGAUGGGGCUAGAUUAUUGCAAUUAUUAAUCUCCAACGAGGAAUGCCUAGUAAGCGUGAUUCAUCAAAUCGCGUUGAUUACGUCCCUGCCCUUUGUACACACCGCCCGUCGCUCCUACCGAUUGAAUGUGUUGGUGAGGAGCUCGGAUUGGCAGCAGUUGGUGGUUCGCCACCGGCUAUUGCUGAGAAGUCCUCCAAACCGCCCCAUUUAGAGGAAGGAGAAGUCGUAACA